rnacentral:rRNA from 1 species
GACGAACCGUGCGAACGUUGUUCGGAAUCACUGGGCUUAAAGGGCGCGUAGGCGGUCAAUCCAGUCGGGGGUGAAAUCUUGCAGCUUAACUGUAAAAGUGCCUUCGAUACUGAUUGACUCGAGGGAGGUAGGGGCAGGUGGAACUUCCAGUGGAGCGGUGAAAUGUGUUGAUAUUGGAAGGAACGCCGGUGGCGAAAGCGACCUGCUGGAUCGCUUCUGACGCUGAGGCGCGAAAGCUAGGGGAGCAAACGGG